rnacentral:lncRNA from 1 species
ACAUUUGCCAAUGUAGUGUUCCAGACAGUUUUAUCAUCCACAUUGCUGACCUGGAAGAUGCAUCAUUGUCUAUGAUAUCUGCAAUGGAAAUGAUCACUAGGCAAUUUCAGCCUUGCAAAUCUAACUGUGGCGUGUGGAAAGAAGAGGAACCAGAAAAGAAUGUUUGUGAAGUUCUGGCUUGAAUCUCGUGCCGGGAGUGUGAAGAAGGUCCUUGCUUCCCCUUCACCUUCUGCCAUGAUUCUAAGUUUCCUGACGCCUCCCAGCCGUGCUUCCUGUUAAGCCUGUGAAACUGUGAGUCAAUCAAACCCUUUUCUUCAUAAAUUACCCAGUUUCAGGUAGCUCUUUAUAGCAGUGUGAAAAUGGACUAAUACAGAAAAUUGGUACCAGAGAGGUGGGGCAUUCCUAUAAAGAUACCUGAAGAUGUAGAAGCAAUUUUGGAAUUUGGGUAAUGGGCAGAGGUUACAACAAUUUGGAGGGCUCAGAAGAUAGGAAGAUGAGGGGAAGUUUGGAACUUCCUAGAGACUUGUUCAAUGGUUUUGACCAAAAUACUGAUAGUGAUGAAUAGUGAAGUCCAGGCUGAGGUGGUCUCAGAUGGAAAUGAGGAACUUACUGGGAAUUGGAGCAAAGGUCACUCUUGCUAUGCUUUAGCAAAGAGACUGGUGGCAUGGUGCCCCUGCUCUAGGGAUCUGUGGAAAGAAAUUUCUAGGCAGUAAAGUGUUCAAGAUGUGAUCUGGCUGCUUCUAACAGUGUAUAGUCAUAUGUAUUCAUAAAGAGAUGUUCUGAAAUUGGAACUUACAUUAAAAAGGGAAGCUGAAUAUAAAAGUUUGGAAACUUUGCAGCCUGACCAUGUGGUACAAAAGAAAAAAAAACAUAUUUCUGAGGAGAAUUCAAGCCAGCUGCAGAGAUUUGCGUAAGUAAAGAGGAGCCAAAUGUUAAUAGCUGAGACAAUGGGGAAAAUGUCUCCAGGGCGUGUCAACGACCUUAGCUUCAGCCCCCCCCAUCACAGGCCUGGAGGCCUAGGAAGGGAAAAUGGUUUCCUGGGCCAGGUUCAGGGCCCCUCUGCUCUGUGCAGCCUUGGGACAUGGCACCCUGUGUCCCAGCCACUCCAGCUCCAGCCAUGGCUAAAAAGUGCCAAGGUGCAGUUUGGGCCAUUGCUUCAGAGGGUGCAAGCCUCAAGCCUUGGUGGCUUCCAUGUAGUGUCAGGCUUGUGGGUGCUCAGAAGGCAAGGGUUGAGGCUUGGGAACCUCUACCUAGAUUUCAGAGGACGUAUGGAAACACUGGAUGUCCAAGUAUUAGUUUGCUGCAGGGGCAGAACCCUCAUGGAGAACCUCUACUAGGGCAGUGCAGAGGGGAAAUGUGGGGUUGGAACCCACACACACAGUCUCCAUUGGGACACUGCCUAGUGGAGCUGUGAGAAGGGGGCCACUGUCCUCCAGACCCCAGAAUGGUAGAUCCGCUAACAGCUUUCACUGUACACCUAGGAAAGAUGUAGGCACUCAAUGCUAGCCCAUGAAAGCAGCCACGGUGGCUGUUCCCUGCAGAGCCACAGAGGUGGAGCUGCCCAAGGCUUUGGAAUCCCAUCCCUUUCAUCAGUGUGACCUGGAUGUGAGACAUGGAGUCAAAGGUGAUUAUUUUGGAGCUUUAAGAUUUAAUGACUGCCCUGCUGGGUUUUGGACUUGCAUGGGGCCUGUAGCCCCUUUGUUCUGGCUCAUUUCUCUCUCUGCAAUGGGAGCAUUUACCCAAUGCCUGUAUCCCCAUUGUAUCUUGAAAGUAACUAACUUGUUUUUGAUUUUACAGGCUCAUGUGGAAGGGACUUACCUUGUCUCAGAUGAGACUUUGGACUGUGGAUUUUGAGUUAAUGCUGGGAUGAGUUAAGACUUUGGGGGACUGUUGGGAAGGCAUGAUUGGUUUUGAAAUGUGAGAAGAACAUGAGAUUUGGGAGAGGCCAAGGGUGGAAUGAUAUGGUUCGGCUCUAUGUCCCCACCCAAAUCUCAUCUCAAAUUGUAAUCCUCACAUGUUGUGGGAGGGGCCUGGUGGGACGUGAUUGAAUCAUGGGGGUGGAUUUCCCCCUUGCUGUUCUCUUGAUAGUGAGUGAGUUCUUGCAAGAUCUGGUUGUCUGAAAGUGUGUGACAUGUCUCCCUUUGCUCUUUCUCCAUCCUGCCACCAUGUGAAGGAGGUCCUUACUUCCCCUUCACCUUCUGCCUUAAUGUUAAGUUUCCUGAGGCCUUCCAGCCAUGCUUUCUGUUAAGCCUGUGGGUCAAUUAAACCUCUCUUCAUAAAUUACCCAGUCUCAGGUAUUUCUUUAUAGCAGUGUGAAAAUGGGCUAAUACAGAGCAUAUCCUAGGCUAUAAAAUAA